GGGUCUGUAGCUCAGCAGGGAGAGCACCGCGCUUGCAUCGCGGAGGCAAGGGGUUCGAGUCCCCUCGGAUCCA
rnacentral:tRNA from 1 species